GGCGGUGAGGCUUUGGGGUGGUGCUGCUAUGGGGCGGCUGUCACAGUGGGAAAGAACAGCACGGUGGAAAGGCGAUACAGGAGAGGAAUGGCAAAGGGACAAACAGGAAAGGAAGGCUCAGCGGUCUGCGAACAUCUCGGCUCACGGGGAGAUACCCCCCCAGGGAGGGAUCUCCACGCACAGAGCCUUCCCAGCCGCUCUCAGCCCUUCCAUGAGGUCUCAGAGCAGUGCGGGCAGGCUCCGCCCCUCCCGCUCACACCGCUGCACCGCCUCCAGCUGUGCCGCCAGGGCUGCCCGCUCCUUUCCCAGGUGCUCCAUCGCUGGGUCAAGCCGGGACUCGGCAGCUCCCAUUGGGGCACGAAGAGGCCGAGGCGGCCGACGGCAAACGGCGACCGUCCCGCGGGAACCGCGAGACACGGGAGAGGAUCUCAGCCGUCGGCCGGGCGGCGCUUCGCCCACGGGGACAGCGGGCAGCAACCGCGGGAAACGCGGCCCGGUGCGUCCGCAGGCCGUGAAGCAGCGCAGGAAGCGCAGGGACACGGCGGGGAACGACCCCGGCGGACUGAGCGGCGCGUCGCUCUGUGACGUCAUCACGGCCCGCCGCGGCGCCCGGUGAUGACAUCACAUCCGGCCUGGAGCGGAAGCGCAAUGUGGACGGGCGUGGAAGGGGAGGGGGCUGAUGGAGAAAGAAUGGCGGUGCUUCCGUGCCUGGGGCAGCGCUCCCGUCCCGUCCCGUCCCGUCCCGUCCCACAACGCUGCGGGAAGCGAUGGCAGCGGCUGCAAUAGAGCACGCUUUGCUUACUGCAAACUCCGCGUCUUUACGAUGGGCAGCGGCUUGGCAGGAUGGGCAGAGAAAGAAAUCGAAGGAGUCCCGAAGGCGUGUGACUCCCUGAAGGUAUUGGCCAGUGCAGAUCCCGGGAAGGUUGUGGCUGUGCAGAGGCCUCUUCUGCACGGAGGCACUGGGUGAGCUGCCAGCAGCUUCCAUUGCUGCCCAGCUAAGCGUACCCGAAGUCAUGGGCUGUACCUGAAGGGGGCCUCCAGGAAAGCUGGGAUGGGGCUGUUUUGUAAGGGCGUGGAGCGACAGGAGGAGGGGAAAUGGCUUUAGAGUGGAAGAGGGUGGAUUUAGACAGUGGAGCAGGUUGUGGAUGCCCCCGCCCUGUGAGCAGCCUGGUGUGGUGGGAGGUGUCCCUGCCUUCAGCCGGGGAUGGAAGUGAAUGGUCUGAAAGGUCCCUUCCAACCCAAACCAUUCUAUGGUUCUUUGUAAACUGCAGGGAAUUGCAGAGGAGAAUGGCUUUAAGAAGCCAAUAGCACUAGAGAUGCAGCGUGCAGUUCAGAGAGCACCUCUGUGCAGUGAGGUCAGAGCGUGCCUGAAACAAUACGACCUGGACAGAGAGUGGCUCAGAAUGAUGACAGAAUCAUAGAGGCACAGGGCUGGAAAGGACCUACAGGAUCAUCCCAUCCAACUGUCCUCCAAUCACCAUCACCACCGCUGAGGUCCUCAGCCUCAUCUCGUAGCACCUCAUCCACAAUGUCAGUGGUUUAUGGGCUGGUUCGGCCCGGUUCCCUGAGUAGCGGGGCAGAGGGACCCGCGGAUCGACACCCCAGAAAAGGGGAACAGGGAAAAGGAUAGCGAGAUGGGCCCAAAAACAACACGGCAGCAACGAUCUGAGCAGAAACAAAGUAAUUGACUAGAAACGACAUCGGGCUGCAAGAAAAUACACUGUAAUACAACAGCAGCACUGGCACAAGGUUGGUGGUGAUGGGAUCUCUCAUUGUGGGUGCGCAUUUUGCUUCCAGAGGACGUAGUGGUCAGCUCUGCUGCAGACCCAGUGCUUGUGUAGGUGGCACAGGGAUGAGCUGAUCCUGUCCCCGUUCAGGUACGCACAUCGGCCUCCACCUCGCAGCUCAAACCUGUGCCCAGAGGGAGGAGAAUGGGAAAG
rnacentral:lncRNA from 1 species